CCGAGGCCGCGGGGAGGAACGCGGGGGACGGGCGGGCCCCGGGAGGCCCGGGCUGGGGGGCAGACGGGGCUGCGACGCGAGGGAGCCAGGCCAAAGCCAGGGGAGCGCGCCACGCCGCCCUCAGAAACCUCCGCCGCCUCGGGGUCGCCGCGGGACAGAGCUCGGGCUUCUGGCCUCACCUCCCUCUCCGAGUACCCGCCGUAUUCCCCGCGCUGACACCCUGUUCCUGCAUUUGCUGCUCAUUCCGACGCCUCCAAGCUUUUACUCUUGUUCUUUGCUCACCCUGCUGUCCUCCUUGUAUUUCCCCCUGGUGAACCUGACCUCGGUGUGACCUCAGCCUAGGACUCAAAGCUCCCUCUCUCUCUUAGGCUGGGCCCCAGACAGCCGAGCGAGCGGCGUCCCUGCGCACCCCAUCCCUAGGCCCCUUCCCUGGGUUGCCUAAACCUACAGCACGUUCGUUGGCGGACCGUGCCUUCCUGAAACCUCUUGAUUUCUGAUUGCCAGUUAGACACUGGGGACUCAGAGUUAGGACUCCGAGCCCAACGCACCUCCUCUUUCUCCCCAGCGUCUUCCUUCGCGGGUUUCAUUACUUCUUUCUUUGUUUUUUUUAGUUUCUGGCACAAAAAUCAACUCACCCUUGUUCCCAGGAGCAGAGCCGUUUCUGCCCCUUCCCUCACACUCUGGCCUGGUGUAUGCUGGCUAAGCUUUGAACAAGCCCAGAAGGAGUCCAGUACUGCCCUGCAGGGCGGCAUGGGGGUGUCCUGCUCUGCCUGCGACUUGCCCUUUGCUGCCCCCCCCCCCCCCCGCGGAAUACCACUUUCAGGCCCCAGCUGAUUCCCAUCCUGUUGGGGGGACCUCCAAGUGUGUAGUUGGGGAGCCACCCACAUCGACCUAGAUGAGGGGUCCCAGGGGACACUGCUGGGCCUCCUAUCACCCCGGAGGCUCCCCUACCUUCUCUCUUGACUUCUCGCCUCUUCUCCAUGUCUCCCUCCCCAUCACCUGCAGGACCUGUGGCUCCCACCCGGACUUCCCCAGGUGUCAGCUUUAACCCCGGGUGAGAUUAUCAAAGGCCUCAGGCCCUCCGACUCCCUGCGGCACUGGGCUCUCCAGCCUCCCCCCUCCCUCCCAGGGAAGCCAUCCAGAUGGUCAGACCACUCUGCCUCUCUUGACCCCGUGAGUGCCCCGGGUUGCUGUGCCUUGCUGCCUUCUCCCUCCUCCCUCCAGAGAGCCGGUGAUCUUCCACAGCCUCAGAGGCUGUCUUGGGGACGUGAUUUCCUAGUGUGGGCCUCCGUCCUGCUUCCGCCAGUCCUGAAUAUCAGCUGGUGAGGACAGAGGCGGCCUUGACUCCCUGGGGAGGAGGGGAGCACCUGCCUCCAUGGAGGGUCCCUAACGCAAUAGCUCUGUCCCUGGGCCUGGGAUGUGGCUGCUUCGUCUCCACAAACCAGCUCCUCCUCCUGCCCCCCCCACCCCCACCCCUCUUGUCUGUCCACGGCACCUCCUCCUGAUGCUCAUCAGGCUUGGAGCCCAGGGGUUCAUCUCGGAUACUUUCCUCACCCUGACCACAGCCAACUCUUUGUCAGAUUGUAAGGAUUCCCCCUCGGGGUCCUCUUCCCUGCCCCAGUGCCCACAGUGAGUAUCUUUAACAAUGAAACUUAUUGGUCCUCUACUGGACUCCACUCUGGCUUGGAGGAGAACUCCGCCCUUGUCUGAUGAUGACCAUCGUAGCUAUCUCCCUGCCCCCAGCUGCCCAGCCCAGUCACCCUCCAUUCUCCUGCCACCACUUGCUUAGAAACUUCCAGAUGUUCACGGCUCCCCGAGUAGACAUUUAGGGACUUAGUUUAGGGACAUUCUGAGCCCUUUGAUGCCUGAUCUGGAUGUCCCUUGCCACUCUUCCCUCCAUUCCCUUUCUGUGCUAGUCCCUUGCUUACCUGACACCAAAGAUCUUACUCCUCCCCCAACACAGGCUACCACUGUCAACAGCAGGCCUUUCAUCUGGCUGGUUCCUGGGGGGGCGGGGGGGGGGGAGGGCGUGCCCUCACUGUUGCCCCACCUUUCUUCUCUGGAAGCAACAGGGUCCACGUUCCUCUUCAUGAUGGUUGAAGGGCUUGGCUGUUGCAGAUCUUCACGGCUCUAGAAGACUCUUCCCAAAGUAGGGUUGGGGUAUGGGUGCUCAGAGUUAACCCGGGGCAGAAAGGGACUGUUAAUGGCACUGAGCUAAGACCAGGUUGGAUGGGCUCCUGACUUGUAUGGGUUUCUAUUAUUAACCACAUGGACUAGAAAGAAACCACCCAGGAUGGUGUCUGAGGCUUCCCAGGUCCUGCAGCCCCAGAGAAAGGCUUCUGGGUUAGAGCCACUGCACCAAGGGGCAAGGCCUCUGGGUGAUGACGGUUAUCAGUUGGGCCAGUAAAUGGAAGGCCAGCGAGGAAAGUCUGAGUCAGUCCUUGUGGUUGGAGGUAAGUGUCUCUGCUUUAGAUCCAGCAAGUCUGUUUCUUGGAAUUCCGUGUGUGUUUUUCUGUCUUGUGCUUCAUGGGCACCACGGUGUGGCGGCGAGAGCCUGGUGAAUGAACACUCAGUGUCACUGCAGAGUGAGUGACCUGGGCUGUAAAGAUGCAGGGGCGAGUACUGGGGCCAGUACAGAAGAAGGGCCUGAGCUUGAGACCAGGACAGCAUCUGUAAAGGCCAGUAGAGCUGAACGCGUGGAUUUGCAGUACGGACUUCAAGGUGGAGCACCUGGAGCAUCCCAGGGGAUGCAGGAGAGCAGAGCAUUUUCCCUGUAGGUCUGGGCCUUAAAACAGUAUUUCAAAAAUCAAAACUAACUCUCUGUCUCUCUCUCUCUCCCCCACACCCCCUCCCUCUCUCCAAAAGGGGGCUGCAACACCACAGACAACCGAUCCCAGGUGGUGCAUUAGGCACAAGGCUCCAGGCCAGGCUGAGUGUUGGGCCGCAGCGCCCCCUGGAGGCCCAGGAGAUUCAGGCACUUGGAUCCACUUCAAGGUCAAGUUUUCUGAUAGGAAUUAACAGAGGGACAGAAUAAACAUACUAAAGCAUCCACUAAAUACGGUUGUUCGCGUGUUCCGUGAAGAAAAAGAAAAUGCCUGGGGCCGUUCCAGAAGGUUUCCUUGUGAGUAUGCCCCAGCUCUCAGUCUUCCUCCUGGCUGACUUCCCCCGUUGCCAGGGGAAAGACCCACACUACAGGUGUUCGUCUUGCCUUGGGAUCCCUCCCACUCCCGAAUCUAGGUUGCGUUACUCAGUGUUGAAUAAUACACAAUUGGAGUCAACACUCUGGAAGAAGAGUUGAGCUCCCAUCUCCAAUUUCUGGGCUAAAAGACAGAUUGCAUGUCCCCUCAAUUUUCCUGGUUGUCCACACCCCUACCAGUCACGAACCAUCUCAAAGACAACUAGUCUCACCCUCACUGAGGCAGAGGAAGGGGACUGUUUUACCUGGUGCAGCAAGAUGUGCUUUGUUCAUCCAGAAGCUUUCAGAGAAGGCCCUGGGACCUGCAGAUUUCCAAACUAAUGCUGUAGCAACAGCCAACACUGUCCCUGGAGGCCUGCCCCUUAGCUAUCCACAGGCAGUGGUGGAAAAUCAGAAAUAAAAGCACGUGAGUGUGAUAUAUAUAUUUACUUGUGGGGCAAGAUCAAAUUCCUUUUCUGAUGGCUGUGGGGUCAACAGGAAAGGAAGCCAUCGUUUCUGAGAUAAAACAGGGUAGGGUAAGGGAGGAGGGGAGGUGGGAAGGGGCUGUUUUUCACCUUGUCCUGGGUGAAGUGAGGAGAUGGCCCGGCAAAGGCCAAUUCUCCAGGAGGCUCAAGCCUCAGGGACCCUCAUCCACACAGGCCCCUGCCAAGGCCCUUUGAAGGCUCCUUGCAGUGCAUUCCCAUGGUUAUAUAUAAUUGUGUUUUCAUAAGUUUGUAUAUUUCUUUAAAAAUUUUUUUAUGUUUAUUGAUCUUUGAGAGAGAGAGAGCACAAGCAGGAGGGGCAGAGAGAGAGAGAGAGAGACAGAAUCUGAAGCAGGCUCCAGGCUCCGAGCUGUCAGCACAGAGCCGGAUGUGGAGCUCGAACUCAUGAAUCGUGAAAUCAUGACCUGAGUUGAAGUGGGAUGUUUAACCGACUGGGCGCCCCAGUUUGUAUGUUUCUUCUGAAAGAGCAAAAUCCCCUUUGGUUUUAUGAGCUUCAGGCUCCCCUGAACCUACAUCUUCCCAUAGGACCUGGAGCUGGGUAGGAACUGUGCAGGUAAAUGAUUAUAAAGGCCUAAACUAAGGCAGAUCGAGGGGGACUGAGAGGAACAGAAGAGAGAUACCUCUUAAUGAAAACGCGCUGUCACUUACUGACCUGUAGCUCUUGCUGAUGGGGGUGGGGGGAGGUGGUUUGCCUCUCCUCUGGUGUCCAUACUGUUCAGAAUAGUGCCUAGCACACGAAUACUUGUAUAAUGAAUACUUGUCUGGGAGGUACAGGUCAGGAACUCAUGACUAACUAGGUAUGUGGGGGUCCCACAGAGUGCUCCAAAUAGAUGGGCUUAGUACACCCACCACCUGUCCCCCAGCCCUGCCCUGUCACCCGGACCCAUUCCUGAGGUAGAAAGCAUCAAGGUCUCUCCCUUUUAACCUUCGAUGGCCACUUGGCCAGUGGGAGCCAGGUCCUUGGGAUGCACCACACAGUGAAAAGGACUCGGGGUCUGGAGACUCGAGUAGGCAACACUCUUGCCUAAUUAUCAUUAUAGUUAAUAUAAUUAAAUAUUAUCACCUAGUUAUCCUUAGCGUCAGUCACUUCCUGGGGUGCUGAGGGUCCACUGGUGCGACGGUUAAGUGUUUCACAACCGCCCCUCAAAAAAUAAACCUGAUUUGUAGCA